rnacentral:rRNA from 1 species
GGCGAGGAGAGUAUCCUCAGGCGCUCGAGAGAACCGUCCUUAAGGAACUAGGCAAAUUUGCCCCGUAACUUCGGGAUAAGGGGUCCCUUCCUUCGGGAAGGGCGCAGGAAAUGGCUCUGGCGACUGUUUAUCAAAAACACAGGUCUCUGCUAAGUCGUACAGACGACGUAUAGAGACUGACGCCUGCUCGGUGCCGGAAGGUUAAGGAAGCAGGUCAUCCUUCGGGAGAAGCUUGCGACCGAAGCCCCGGUUAACGGCGGCCCUAACUAUGAGGGUCCUAAGGUAGCGAAGUUCCUUGUCGGGUAAGUUCCGACGCGCAUGAAUGGCGUAACGACUGGAGCACUGUCUCAAGGACGGACUCGGUGAAAUUGUAAUGGUUGUGAAGAUACAACCUUCCCGCAGAAAGACGGAAAGACCCCGUGAACCUUCACUGUAGCCUGAUAUUGACCACGGGCUGCGCAUGCGUAGGAUAGGUGGGAGGCUGUGAGGCGGCGUUUCCGGACGCCGCGGAGCCAACGUUGAAAUACCACCCUUGUGUUGUUCGUUGUCUAACCCCGACCCAUGAAUCUGGGCGGGGGACAGUGUUUGGUGGGCAGUUUGACUGGGGCGGUCUCCUCCAAAAGAGUAACGGAGGAGUGCAAAGGUCGGCUCAGCAUGGUUGGCAAUCAUGCUUCGAGUGUAAGAGCACAAGCCGGCUUAACUGCGAGACUUACAGGUCGAGCAGAUGGGAAACCAGGCUCUAAUGAUCCAGCGGUCCCGUGUGGAAGGGCCGUUGCUCAACGGACAAAAGGUACUCCGGGGAUAACAGGCUGAUGACUCCCGAGCGUCCAUAGCGGCGGAGUCGUUUGGCACCUCGAUGUCGGCCCAUCGCAUCCUGGGGGUGUAGGCGCUCCCAAGGGUUCGGCUGUUCGCCGAUUAAAGCGGUACGCGAGCUGGGUUCAGACCGGCGUGAGCCAGGUCGGUCCCUAUCUUCUGUGGGCGCACGAGACUUGAAGGAGGUAUAACUUUAGUACGAGAGGAUUUAGUUGUACCGGCCUAUGGUGUAUCUGUUGUCGCGCUAGCGGCAUCGCAGAGUAGCCAAGCCGGGAAAGGUUAAACGCUGAAAGCAUCUAAGCGUGAAACCUUCUCCAAGAUAAGGUCUCGAUGCUCUUUGAGCUGCAGGCCCCUGGUAGACCACCAGGUGGAUAGGCUGGGUGUGUAAGGACAGUAAUGUUUUAAGCUUACCAGUACUAAUGGCCGAACGCUUGAUCG